rnacentral:snRNA from 1 species
AGCUUUGCGCAGUGGCAGUAUCGUAGCCAAUGAGGUUUAUCCGAGGCGCGAUUACUGCUAAUUAAAAGAGAUUCUCUGAAUCUCCUAGAAAUGGUAGAUGACUCUUUUAAAUUAUUUUUGCCAUCUUUUAUACAUAAA